rnacentral:misc_RNA from 1 species
GAGAUAUGAUGUAGACAUUGUCAACGCUUUCUAAUGUCAAUCCUGCAAAAUGAAUAAUUAACUUAAUGUUUCUUAACUUCCAUCAAACACUAAAAUAAGAUAUCAAAAGGAGGCUGUCUAAGUAGAAAAACAAAAGGAUGCUCUUAAGAAGUUGCAACCUAUCUGGACAACAUAAUUUGUAUUAAUUGCUGCAUCUAAAACCUUUUGCCGCAACAGUUUGUAAAAUCUAAAUAUUAAGUUUCCAGUAACAACAACACCAUUAAAGAGUAGGGUUGUGCACGGUUCUUGGGUACCAGGAAGUCUGGAACUGAACUAGAAUUGAAGAAGAACCAACAUUGUAGGAAUUGAACCAAGCCGAACUUAUGUUACUGUUUUGGUUUGAUUCUGGUUCUUUAUCAAUUUUAUACAUAUGUUUUUUCAAGAAAUGAAGAAGAAGAAGGAGGAGAA